CCUACGGGGGGCUGCAGUGGGGAAUAUUGGACAAUGGGGGCAACCCUGAUCCAGCCAUGCCGCGUGUGUGAAGAAGGCCCUCGGGUUGUAAAGCACUUUCAGUGAGGAAGAACGCCUGGUGGUUAAUACCCAUCAGGAAAGACAUCACUCACAGAAGAAGCACCGGCUAACUCCGUGCCAGCAGCCGCGGUAAUGCGGAGGGUGCGAGCGUUAAUCGGAAUUACUGGGCGUAAAGCGCGCGUAGGUGGCUUGAUAAGCCGGUUGUGAAAGCCCCGGGCUCAACCUGGGAACGGCAUCCGGAACUGCCAAGCUAGAGUGCAGGAGAGGAAGGUGGAAUUCCCGGUGUAGCGGUGAAAUGCGUAGAGAUCGGGAGGAAUACCAGUGGCGAAGGCGGCCUUCUGGACUGACACUGACACUGAGGUGCGAAAGCGUGGGUAGCAAACAGGAUUAGAUACCCUGGUAGUC
rnacentral:rRNA from 1 species